AAGGAACUUCAUGUCAAAUAAUUAUUGUUUUUCCCUAUGUGUUUCCAUGUUCGCUUCAUGUUUGUCUGUGCCUUUUUUUAUUUUGUUACUCCCAAAUCACGGUGCUUGUAGAAACAGCAAGGGCGAU
rnacentral:ribozyme from 10 species